GAUGAACGCUGGCGGCGUGCUUAACACAUGCAAGUCGAACGAUGAAGCCCAGCUUGCUGGGUGGAUUAGUGGCGAACGGGUGAGUAACACGUGAGUAACCUGCCCUUAACUCUGGGAUAAGCCUGGGAAACUGGGUCUAAUACCGGAUAGGAGCGUCCACCGCAUGGUGGGUGUUGGAAAGAUUUAUCGGUUUUGGAUGGACUCGCGGCCUAUCAGCUUGUUGGUGAGGUAAUGGCUCACCAAGGCGACGACGGGUAGCCGGCCUGAGAGGGUGACGGGCCACACUGGGACUGAGACACGGCCCAGACUCCUACGGGAGGCAGCAGUGGGGAAUAUUGCACAAUGGGCGCAAGCCUGAUGCAGCGACGCCGCGUGAGGGAUGACGGCCUUCGGGUUGUAAACCUCUUCCAGUAGGGAAGAAGCGAAAGUGACGGUACCUGCAGAAGAAGCACCGGCUAACUACGUG
rnacentral:rRNA from 1 species